UACGUAGGGUGCAAGCGUUAUCCGGAAUUAUUGGGCGUAAAGAGCUCGUAGGCGGUUUGUCGCGUCUGCUGUGAAAACUGGAGGCUCAACCUCCAGCCUGCAGUGGGUACGGGCAGACUAGAGUGCGGUAGGGGAGAUUGGAAUUCCUGGUGUAGCGGUGGAAUGCGCAGAUAUCAGGAGGAACACCGAUGGCGAAGGCGGGUCUCUGGGCCGUAACUGACGCUGAGGAGCGAAAGCAUGGGGAGCGAACAGG
rnacentral:rRNA from 1 species